rnacentral:rRNA from 1 species
GACAGAGGGUGCAAACGUUGUUCGGAAUUACUGGGCGUAAAGCGCGUGUAGGCGGCAGGGCAUGUCGGAUGUGAAAUCCCGUGGCUCAACCACGGAAGUGCACCCGAAACUGCCCAGCUUGAGUCUCGGAGAGGAAGGCGGAAUGCUUGGUGUAGAGGUGAAAUUCGUAGAUAUCAAGCGGAACACCGGUGGCGAAGGCGGAUCUCUGGGCCAUUACUGACGCUGAGGAGCGAAAGCGUGGGUAGCAAACAGG